rnacentral:pre_miRNA from 1 species
GUGCUUCUCGAGAUUCAAGUUUGACCGUAAAUUGAACUACCGAGACCGACUGCGGCGGGAGCAAAAAUUAUACCACUGAAUUCAUAUUUUCGUUAUGAAUUUAGUGAUAUAAUUUUUGUCCCCGCCGCAAUCGGUCUCGUUGGUUAAAUUUACGGUCAAAGUUGGAUCUUGGGAAGCGC